rnacentral:rRNA from 1 species
UACGUAGGGGGCAAGCGUUACCCGGAUUUACUGGGCGUAAAGCGCGUGUAGGCGGCUGGCCAAGUGUGGUGUGAAAUCCCCCGGCUCAACCGGGGAACUGCAUUGCAAACUGGUCUGGCUAGAGUGCAGGAGAGGGAAGUGGAAUUCCCGGUGUAGCGGUGAAAUGCGUAGAUAUCAGGAGGAACACCGGUGGUGUAGACGGCUUACUGGACCAUAACUGACGCUGAGACACGAAAGCGUGGGUAGCAAACAGG